rnacentral:rRNA from 1 species
CAGUCGCCGCGGGAAUACGUAGGGUGCGAGCGUUAAUCGGAAUUACUGGGCGUAAAGCGUGCGCAGGCGGUUGUGUAAGACAGGUGUGAAAUCCCCGGGCUUAACCUGGGAACUGCGCUUGUGACUGCACAGCUAGAGUAUGGCAGAGGGGGGUGGAAUUCCACGUGUAGCAGUGAAAUGCGUAGAGAUGUGGAGGAACACCGAUGGCGAAGGCAGCCCCCUGGGCCAAUACUGACGCUCAUGCACGAAAGCGUGGGGAGCAAACAGGAUUAGAUACCCCCGUAGUCCCUGUCUCUUAUAA